rnacentral:tRNA from 1 species
UCCCUGGUGGCUCAAUGGUGGAGAAUCUGCCUGCCAAUGCAGGAGACACAGGUUCAAUCCCUGGUCUGGGAG